GACGUACUCCUUCCGUCCGAAAAUACAUGUCAUCAAAAUGGACAAAAGGAAAUAUAUGUAGAACUAAAAUACAUCUAGAUACAUCUCCUUUUAUUCAUUUUGAUGACAAGUAUUUCCGGUUGGAGGGAGUACUUG
rfam:Triticum aestivum genome assembly, contig: Triticum_aestivum_CS42_TGACv1_scaffold_130302_2BL